rnacentral:rRNA from 1 species
UACGAGUGCUCCAAGCGUUAUCCGGAAUCAUUGGGCGUAAAGGGUGUGUAGGUGGUUUUCUUAGUCUUCUGUCAAAUUCUUCGGCUCAACCGGGGGCUCGCAGGAGAAACGGGAAAACUUGAGGAUGUGAGAGGUGAAUGGAACUCAUGGUGUAGGGGUGAAAUCCGUUGAUAUCAUGGGGAACACCAAAAGCGAAGGCAAUUCAACUGGCACAUUCCUGACACUAAAACACGAAAGCGUGGGUAGCGAAUGGG